CCCUGAAGAACAAAUAUGGAGAAUCUUAAUUCCAACACUUCAGAGAACUAACACUAUUCACCUGCCACUGAGUCCUCCCCCUCUGCCUAGAUAGCCUCACAGAUGCUCCGUAAGGGUCUCAACAGCAGGAGAGUGGACAAUGCCCAUGAGCAAGGAAGAGCUGAGCACAAAAAUCACCACUGGCUGCAUGACCAACAAAGGUUAAGGCUAUGAAAUCGUUCCUGCAUGGCCACCACUCACAGGCUAAAACCUGCCACCCACCAACCCAUCAUGCGGCAGCACCCAGACUCCGUUCUCUCCUGGACCUACCUGAAACCAAAUGGCAUUGACAACUUUGCUAAGCACGAACAGAGGAAGUACCCAAAGAGCACUGAAAAUGGACGUAAGGAAGAAUUCCAGCCACGACCAAACAUCUCCAUGUAGUGAUGGAUCACCUAAGAAAGGGGAAAAGAGAGUUGUCACUGUAACUGGAGAAAUGAAAAACAAAAAAGACCGAAUAUGGAACCCCCUAGUUGGUGACUAUUCUCCCUCACCACACACACACACACCCCCUGUGUUUCUUUCCAGCACACGACCAGAUAGUUCUCCUCUUCGUAGACACAUCAAAUUCUAGCCACAGCUCUCACUGGAGUAGUCCUAGAUAUGUGCUGCUUACCUUGAGACAGACCCGCUUACCAGGUGCUGACUGACACAUCACAGACCUUUGACAGUACACAGUAUAAAGGAAACUACCUGGGUUUAAAUCCCAGCUCGGCCCCUUACUAAUAGUUUAACCUCGGGUAACUAACUUCCAUUUUCUCAUCCACGAAAAUGAUGUUGGUAACAGUACCCACUCAAAGGGUUGUUGACAGGCUUGAGCUAAAAACAGCUAAAGCUCCUGGAACAGCGAAGUGUUCGGUAAACUGAGGGAGACAGGGACAAUCCCCUGUACCUCCGCCCCAGGCAUGCAGCACACAGCAAUGCAUAUACUUACCAAUAAUUUGGGCUGUUACUGACUGGAGUACAGGAAUAAACACUCGAUAAAACAAGAGGAGACUUAACUAAAGGAAAGAAUAAAAUAAACAUUAAAAGCUCUUCUUUAAAAAGAGUUCCAAGUUUCAGUGUCAUUUUCCAGAUGGAGGUGCCUUUUCAAGGAGCCCUGAAGAGGCACCAAAACUGGACCCGUUUCUACAGCCUAGUCCUUCUCUAAGGUACAAACCUGACAUUGCUUGUAAAAACAGAGGGUCUUAGGGACACAGACAAACAUUUUAAAUAAUAUUCAGACCAAAAUACAGGCACAUACUAAAUACAUAGUAAUAUUUUAUUAAGCAAACAUCUGAAAACAUCUGUGAAAUGUUUGGAUUAAGACAAGCUGGAUUACAUGGAAUUCCAAGUCCAAAAAAAAAAAAAAAUCUCACUACCCGUUCUUCAAAGUACUCAAAUUUCGCUUAAGCCCAUGUUGGCUCUCAGUUAACUCUAGGCAACAUUUUCUGGUGUGGGUUUUCAAUAGUCAUCAAUUCUAGUAGAAUGAUAAGACCAGGUGCAAGGAUAACCUUGCUCUUUUCCUUCUGCCUUUCCCUUCUGAUAGCUGCUCUUCUCCAAAAUGCCCCAUGUCAAGAGAAACUGUUACCGCUAACAUUAAAACUUGUGAAUGAGUCGUUUUUUAAAAAUAAAGUGUAUAUUCAGGGCUAUCCCUGACAUUUACAUACAAGUGUUCUUUGAGUGAAAAUAAAAUCAUUGCAGAUGCACAGAUUCCCAGUUAUGGUUUAAGCAUGUAUCAGUAGGUGAAAGCUACUUGUCUCAGUUUCAAGAAAAGAAUUGAAAGCUAUUGAGAGAGCAACAAUCUGAAGAUGCUUGUAAGGCACCUGGCAUUUGAGGAAAAAGAACUCACCCAGAAUACUCCACCAUUCCAAGCGCAGCACUGGAAAAUUCUACUAACGAUACGCGGCUCACUGGAAAAGACCACAUGCAUUCAGCUAAUAUGGUACACAGGCCAUUUCCAAAUCAUCAUUCACUCACUCACUCACUCACCAUUACCUUUUGUUGGUUACCAUUAUUUUU